CUAUUAGCCAACAUUUAAUAACAGUUUAAGUUAUUAAACCACCCUGCAACUGUCUCUGCCUGCAGCAACACCAGUGACUGGGGGAAAGGGGGUGGAAUAUCUGGGAUAUUCUCUUUCUCCCAUAUAGUUGCCCUAUGACUAAGUGCCUUGCAAAUGGAAUCACCUUGUAAUCCUUAUUUCCUUACUCCUAGAGGCACCAGAAAGUUCUCUACAUUACUGGAACCAAAAGUCUAGUCUCUUUCUAUGACCAGGUUACGAAACGCCUGGACACAGGAGGAGGGGUGGAUGUCGUAUACUUAGACUUCAGGAAGGCCUUCGAUACGGUAUCCCACCCCAUACUGGUGAACAAGCUAAGAGGCUGUGAUGUGGAUGACUGCACAGUCCGAAGUUCCCCAUCUCAGUACUGGAAGGAAGUGGCUGAAGAAAGGAGGAAGGCUCUGUAUGAAGUAGUUCAAGAAAAUGAAAAGAGACUAACUGGGAAGGCACCUGAAGCUUAAAAGAUCUAGACUUCAAAAAGCUUAAACAGGAGGAUGAAGAGUGAUGUAAACUAAAUAGUGAUUCUCAAGAGGAGUCUUCAAAGUUAUGUCAUUGUAACAAAUCUAAGAUCAACCCAAGAAGUCUGUGAAACUGGCUUGGCAAGCUUAAAUAGAUAGUGCUUUAUGUGUGUGCAGCUAUUAAUUCUGAACUCCAUUCUUGGAGAAACCUAAGGUGUGCACAGAAAUUGUUUUUUUUCACUGUUUAAAGCACUUUAUUGCCUUGAUUUUUUAAACAGAAGUGCACAGCUUACAACACUUUAAAUGGGUAUAGUGCUUUAACCCUUGUUAAAUGAGGUAUUAAAUUCUGAAAUGCUGUAUUUUACAGAACUUAAGUAACCUACAGCACUUUAAAUAACUUCUGUACACUGGUCAAAUUUCUGACCACUCACCACCAUACUUCUGUCAUGUUUAAAAAGUGCUGUAACUUUAUAGUGCUAUAAAAAGUGAUCUAAAUUACAGUACUGUGAAACAUGUAUGGAGCAGUUCUGUACACACCUCUACUGCCAAACUUAUCCCAGGUACAAUGGUGAAUCUUGUGGAAGCUUUAAAGAUACAGUGGAUUGUACCUGGAAUAGAAGUUGUAACAGAGAUGAUUUCAGAGGGUGAUACCAGGUAGCUCCAUGUGCUUAGAGAAUUUCAGAAUAGCUCCAAGCACUCACUGUACUUCGUGACUGCAAGCAGCAGCACAGAGCACACAGCACUUCUAAUAAAGAUCCAAGUUGUUGCAAA